GAACGCUGGCGGCAGGCCUAACACAUGCAAGUCGAGCGGUAACAGAAAGAAAGCUUGCUUUCUUUGCUGACGAGCGGCGGACGGGUGAGUAAUGCCUGGGAAUAUGCCUUAGUGUGGGGGAUAACUAUUGGAAACGAUAGCUAAUACCGCAUAACGUCUUCGGACCAAAGAGGGGGACCUUCGGGCCUCUCGCGCUAAGAUUAGCCCAGGUGGGAUUAGCUAGUUGGUGAGGUAAAGGCUCACCAAGGCAACGAUCCCUAGCUGGUCUGAGAGGAUGAUCAGCCACACUGGAACUGAGACACGGUCCAGACUCCUACGGGAGGCAGCAGUGGGGAAUAUUGCACAAUGGGGGAAACCCUGAUGCAGCCAUGCCGCGUGUAUGAAGAAGGCCUUCGGGUUGUAAAGUACUUUCAGUCGUGAGGAAGGGUGUGUAGUUAAUACGUACUCCGCGUAGUGCCUUGACGUUUAGCGACAGAAGAAGCACCGGCUAACUCCGUG
rnacentral:rRNA from 1 species